rnacentral:rRNA from 1 species
UACGUAGGGUGCAAGCGUUGUCCGGAAUCAUUGGGCGUAAAGAGCGUGUAGGCGGCCAGAAAAGUCCGCUGUGAAAACCCGAGGCUCAACCUCGGGCCUGCAGUGGGUACGGGCAGACUAGAGUGCGGUAGGGGAGAUUGGAAUUCCUGGUGUAGCGGUGGAAUGCGCAGAUAUCAGGAGGAACACCGAUGGCGAAGGCAGGUCUCUGGGCAUUAACUGACGCUGGAGGAGCGAAAGCAUGGGGAGCGAACAGG